GACGAACGCUGGCGGCGUGCUUAACACAUGCAAGUCGAACGGAAAGGCCCUGCUUUUGUGGGGUGCUCGAGUGGCGAACGGGUGAGUAACACGUGAGUAACCUGCCCUUGACUUUGGGAUAACUUCAGGAAAAUGGGGCUAAUACCGGAUAGGAGCUCCUGCUGCAUGGUGGGGGUUGGAAAGUUUCGGCGGUUGGGGAUGGACUCGCGGCUUAUCAGCUUGUUGGUGGGGUAGUGGCUUACCAAGGCUUUGACGGGUAGCCGGCCUGAGAGGGUGACCGGCCACAUUGGGACUGAGAUACGGCCCAGACUCCUACGGGAGGCAGCAGUGGGGAAUAUUGCACAAUGGGCGGAAGCCUGAUGCAGCAACGCCGCGUGCGGGAUGACGGCCUUCGGGUUGUAAACCGCUUUCGCCUGUGACGAAGCGUGAGUGACGGUAAUGGGUAAAGAAGCACCGGCUAACUACGUG
rnacentral:rRNA from 1 species